rnacentral:rRNA from 2 species
UACGGAGGAUGCAAGCGUUAUCCGGAUUUAUUGGGUUUAAAGGGUGCGCAGGUGGUUUAAUAAGUCAGUGGUGAAAGUCUGCCGCUUAACGGUAGGAUUGCCAUUGAUACUGUUGGACUUGAAUAUGGAUGAGGUAGGCGGAAUGUGUAGUGUAGCGGUGAAAUGCUUAGAUAUUACACAGAACACCGAUUGCGAAGGCAGCUUACUAAUCCAUGAUUGACGCUGAGGCACGAAAGCGUGGGGAUCAAACAGG